GGGUUGUGAGGUUAAGCGACUAAGCGUACACGGUGGAUGCCCUGGCAGUCAGAGGCGAUGAAGGACGUGCUAAUCUGCGAAAAGCGUCGGUAAGGUGAUAUGAACCGUUAUAACCGGCGAUGUCCGAAUGGGGAAACCCAGUGCAAUUCGUUGCACUAUCGUUAACUGAAUACAUAGGUUAACGAGGCGAACCGGGGGAACUGAAACAUCUAAGUACCCCGAGGAAAAGAAAUCAACCGAGAUUCCCCCAGUAGCGGCGAGCGAACGGGGAGCAGCCCAGAGUCUGAAUCAGCUUGUGUGUUAGUGGAACGGUCUGGAAAGUCCGACGGUACAGGGUGAUAGUCCCGUACACCAAAAUGCACAGGUUGUGAACUCGAAGAGUAGGGCGGGACACGUGGUAUCCUGUCUGAAUAUGGGGGGACCAUCCUCCAAGGCUAAAUACUCCUGACUGACCGAUAGUGAACCAGUACCGUGAGGGAAAGGCGAAAAGAACCCCGGCGAGGGGAGUGAAAAAGAACCUGAAACCGUGUACGUACAAGCAGUGGGAGCACCUUCGGGUGUGACUGCGUACCUUUUGUAUAAUGGGUCAGCGACUUAUAUUCUGUAGCAAGGUUAACCGUAUAGGGGAGCCGCAGGGAAACCGAGUCUUAACUGGGCGUUAAGUUGCAGGGUAUAGACCCGAAACCCGGUGAUCUAGCCAUGGGCAGGUUGAAGGUUGGGUAACACUAACUGGAGGACCGAACCGACUAAUGUUGAAAAAUUAGCGGAUGACUUGUGGCUGGGGGUGAAAGGCCAAUCAAACCGGGAGAUAGCUGGUUCUCCCCGAAAGCUAUUUAGGUAGCGCCUCGUGAAUUCAUCUUCGGGGGUAGAGCACUGUUUCGGCUAGGGGGUCAUCCCGACUUACCAACCCGAUGCAAACUACGAAUACCGAAGAAUGUUAUCACGGGAGACACACGGCGGGUGCUAACGUCCGUCGUGAAGAGGGAAACAACCCAGACCGCCAGCUAAGGUCCCAAAGUCAUGGUUAAGUGGGAAACGAUGUGGGAAGGCACAGACAGCCAGGAUGUUGGCUUAGAAGCAGCCAUCAUUUAAAGAAAGCGUAAUAGCUCACUGGUCGAGUCGGCCUGCGCGGAAGAUGUAACGGGGCUAAACCAUGCACCGAAGCUGCGGCAGCGACACUAUGUGUUGUUGGGUAGGGGAGCGUUCUGUAAGCCUGCGAAGGUGACCUGUGAGGGUUGCUGGAGGUAUCAGAAGUGCGAAUGCUGACAUAAGUAACGAUAAAGCGGGUGAAAAGCCCGCUCGCCGGAAGACCAAGGGUUCCUGUCCAACGUUAAUCGGGGCAGGGUGAGUCGACCCCUAAGGCGAGGCCGAAAGGCGUAGUCGAUGGGAAACAGGUUAAUAUUCCUGUACUUGGUGUUACUGCGAAGGGGGGACGGAGAAGGCUAUGUUAGCCGGGCGACGGUUGUCCCGGUUUAAGCAUGUAGGCUGAUUGUCCAGGCAAAUCCGGAUAAUCAAGGCUGAGGUGUGAUGACGAGGCACUACGGUGCUGAAGUAACAAAUGCCCUGCUUCCAGGAAAAGCCUCUAAGCAUCAGGUAACAUCAAAUCGUACCCCAAACCGACACAGGUGGUCAGGUAGAGAAUACCAAGGCGCUUGAGAGAACUCGGGUGAAGGAACUAGGCAAAAUGGUGCCGUAACUUCGGGAGAAGGCACGCUGGUGUGUAGGUGAAGUCCCUGCGGAUGGAGCUGAGACCAGUCGAAGAUACCAGCUGGCUGCAACUGUUUAUUAAAAACACAGCACUGUGCAAACACGAAAGUGGACGUAUACGGUGUGACGCCUGCCCGGUGCCGGAAGGUUAAUUGAUGGGGUUAUCCGUAAGGAGAAGCUCUUGAUCGAAGCCCCGGUAAACGGCGGCCGUAACUAUAACGGUCCUAAGGUAGCGAAAUUCCUUGUCGGGUAAGUUCCGACCUGCACGAAUGGCGUAAUGAUGGCCAGGCUGUCUCCACCCGAGACUCAGUGAAAUUGAACUCGCUGUGAAGAUGCAGUGUACCCGCGGCAAGACGGAAAGACCCCGUGAACCUUUACUAUAGCUUGACACUGAACAUUGAGCCUUGAUGUGUAGGAUAGGUGGGAGGCUUUGAAGCGUGGACGCCAGUCUGCGUGGAGCCAACCUUGAAAUACCACCCUUUAAUGUUUGAUGUUCUAACGUUGGCCCCUGACCGGGGUUGCGGACAGUGUCUGGUGGGUAGUUUGACUGGGGCGGUCUCCUCCCAAAGCGUAACGGAGGAGCACGAAGGUUAGCUAAUCCUGGUCGGACAUCAGGAGGUUAGUGCAAUGGCAUAAGCUAGCUUGACUGCGAGCGUGACGGCGCGAGCAGGUGCGAAAGCAGGUCAUAGUGAUCCGGUGGUUCUGAAUGGAAGGGCCAUCGCUCAACGGAUAAAAGGUACUCCGGGGAUAACAGGCUGAUACCGCCCAAGAGUUCAUAUCGACGGCGGUGUUUGGCACCUCGAUGUCGGCUCAUCACAUCCUGGGGCUGAAGUAGGUCCCAAGGGUAUGGCUGUUCGCCAUUUAAAGUGGUACGCGAGCUGGGUUUAGAACGUCGUGAGACAGUUCGGUCCCUAUCUGCCGUGGGCGCUGGAGAAUUGAGGGGGGCUGCUCCUAGUACGAGAGGACCGGAGUGGACGCAUCACUGGUGUUCGGGUUGUCAUGCCAAUGGCACUGCCCGGUAGCUAAAUGCGGAAGAGAUAAGUGCUGAAAGCAUCUAAGCACGAAACUUGCCCCGAGAUGAGUUCUCCCUGAGACUAUAAGUCUCCUGAAGGAACGUUAAAGACGAUGACGUUGAUAGGCCGGGUGUGUAAGCGCAGCGAUGCGUUGAGCUAACCGGUACUAAUGAACCGUGAGGCUUAACCUUACAACGCCGAAG
rnacentral:rRNA from 1 species